rnacentral:lncRNA from 1 species
AACAAAAGUUUAUUCUUUAAUGUGCAGUAGACUCCAGCUUCAAGACGACACUUCAUUCCAGCUAUAGGUGGCAACAGAUAUUAUGGCAGGGAAUACAGAUGUUUAAAUACGAAUGAAAUCAAGGGUCACCAUUGCUUCAGGCACAGGGCACAGCUUACUUUCUGCCAGAUUUUUAAAUUCCACCUGUGGCCGGAGCCCCUUCCAGGAGGCUUUCGCUUUUAGCUCCUUGUGUUUCUUUCGUUCCUUUUCUUGUUUCUGCUUGAAAGCCUUAUUCAUCUUCUUGGCCUGCUUUUUGGGCAGUUUCAAAGGGUUCUUCUUGCCACCUUUGAGGCCGGACCUGGCACCUGCUGCCCCUUCCUGACUCUGUCACCACAAACAGCUAGCCUCAUCUUUUUAAAGAACGUUCCAUAUUUUGGAAUUUCUUAUUGUAUGCUUAAAAUGUCAUGUAUUUUGUUUCUCAAUUCCUGUUGUUUCUCUAUUCCUUUUAUUUCCUGUAAACUAGAAGUUAGAUCUAGAGAGGUUUGACUAAAUUUGGGUCAAAUAUUUUUGGCAAAAAUACUUCAUAGAGGCCAGGUGCGCUGGCUCAUGUCUGUAAUCCCAGCACUUUGAGAGGCUGAGGCAGAUGGAUUGCUAGAGCCCAGGAGUUCAAGACCAGCCUGGACAAUUUGGCAAAACCCUGUCUCUAUUUUAAAAAAAGAAAAAAAAAUGCUGGGUUUGGU